rnacentral:rRNA from 1 species
UACAGAGGUCCCAAGCGUUGUUCGGAUUCACUGGGCGUAAAGGGUGCGUAGGCGGUCGGGUAAGUCUGAUGUGAAAUCUCACAGCUUAACUGUGAAACUGCAUUGAUACUAUCCGGCUAGAGGAAUGGAGGGGAGACUGGAAUACUUGGUGUAGCAGUGAAAUGCGUAGAUAUCAAGUGGAACACCAGUGGCGAAGGCGAGUCUCUGGACAUUUCCUGACGCUGAGGCACGAAAGCCAGGGGAGCAAACGGG